rnacentral:rRNA from 1 species
CGGAACGGGUGAGUAAUGCGUGACCAACCUGCCCCAUGCUCCAGAAUAGCUCUUGGAAACGGGUGGUAAUGCUGGAUGCUCCAACUUGACGCAUGUCUUGUUGGGAAAGUGUUUAGUGGCAUGGGAUGGGGUCGCGUCCUAUCAGCUUGUAGGCGGGGUAAUGGCCCACCUAGGCUUCGACGGGUAGCCGGCCUGAGAGGGCGGACGGCCACAUUGGGACUGAGAUACGGCCCAGACUCCUACGGAGGCAGCAGC